AUGGUGUCCCUGGAUCAGCCCCUCUGCCUCCUCUUACUGCUCUGGCUCCCAGAUACCACAGGGCAGAUUGCAAUGACUCACACUCCAGCUUCCCUGUCUGCUUGUCCAAGAGAGAAAGUCACUACGUCUUGCAGAGCCUGUCAGGGUGCUAGCAAUAAUUCAGCCUGGUGUCAACAGACACCAGGACAGUCUCCCAUGCUCCUGAUCUGUGCUGCUGCCGUCCUGCAUUCUGGGGUCCCUGCGUGGUUCAGUGGCAGUGGGUCUGGGACAGAGUCCACUCUCAUGAUCAGCAGUGUGGAGGCUGAAGAAGCUGGACUGUACUACUAUCAACACCAUUACAGCUGGCCUCUCACAGUGCUCCAGCUCUGA